UACGUAGGGUGCUAGCGUUGUCCGGAUUUAUUGGGCGUAAAGGGCGUGUAGGCGGCCGUACAGGUCAGCUGUGAAAACUCGAGGCUCAACCUCGAGACGUCGGUUGAAACCAUCUGGCUAGAGCCCGGAAGAGGAGUGUGGAAUUCCCGGUGUAGCGGUGAAAUGCGCAGAUAUCGGGAAGAACACCCGUGGCGAAGGCGGCACUCUGGGACGGUACUGACGCUGAGACGCGAAAGCGUGGGGAGCGAACAGG
rnacentral:rRNA from 1 species